AUUGAACGCUGGCGGCAUGCCUUACACAUGCAAGUCGAACGGCAGCACGGGAGCAAUCCUGGUGGCGAGUGGCGAACGGGUGAGUAAAGUAUCGGAACGUGCCCAGUCGUGGGGGAUAACGUAGCGAAAGUUACGCUAAUACCGCAUACGAUCCAUGGAUGAAAGCGGGGGAUCGCAAGACCGCGCGCGAUUGGAGCGGCCGAUAUCAGAUUAGGUAGUUGGUGGGGUAAAGGCUCACCAAGCCGACGAUCUGUAGCUGGUCUGAGAGGAUGACCAGCCACACUGGGACUGAGACACGGCCCAGACUCCUACGGGAGGCAGCAGUGGGGAAUUUUGGACAAUGGGCGAAAGCCUGAUCCAGCCAUGCCGCGUGCAGGAUGAAGGCCUUCGGGUUGUAAACUGCUUUUGUACGGAACGAAAAGGUUUGUCCUAAUAAGCUGAGCUCAUGACGGUACCGUAAGAAUAAGCACCGGCUAACUACGUGCCAGCCGCCGCAGUAA
rnacentral:rRNA from 1 species